UUUUGAGUGGUGAAAGGUCCAGGUCAUAAUUCAAUGUCAUAGGUCGAAUAUAUGGCUUCAAAGCGGCGCAGUAAGGGGGAUUGUGUUUUUACGAACACAGCUCUUGUUGUUAACUGCCUUUUUUAGUCCUUACCAGUGUUUCACUAAAGUCCGUGUACUUUGGACUCAUUUCAAGUUGACAUUUGAAGCUUUAACUUUGUAUGAUUCUAAAUAUGUGUCAAUGCUGUCGGUUGAAUUUUGAAAUAUGAAGUUUUUCAUUUUUUGUAGAUUAAAUAAUUUGUAAAAUGUUGCAGUUUAGUCAAUCAGUUUUAUAAGAUAUUGAGCUUUAGUUAUGAUGCAGAUUGUAAGAUUCUUAAUAUCUUUCAAUAUUGUGGAUAAGUUUUGAGAUAUCAAGCUUUGAAUUUUAUGCAAAUUGUAUGAUUUAAAAUGUUUUAAUUUGUUGAUCAGUGUACUGAAGAUUGUAUACUUUUUAUAUGUUAUAAUUCUGUCUAUUGGUUUUCAAAAUGAAAGACUUUGAUUUUGUAAGUGCACUUUAUCUCAUUAUGCCCCCCUUCGAAGAAGAGGGGGUAUAUUGCUUUGCUCAUGUCGGUCGGUCUGUCGGUAUGUCAGUUUGUCGGUCCGUCCACCAGGUGGUUGUCAGACGAUAACUCAAGAACGCUUGGGCCUAGGAUCAUGAAACUCCAUAGGUACAUUGAUCAUGACUCGCAGAUGACCCCUAUUGAUUUUGAGGUCACUAGGUCAAAGGUCAAGGUCACGGUGACCCGAAAUAGUAAAAUGGUUUUCAGAUGAUAACUCAAGAACGCAUAUGCCUAGGAUCAUGAAACUUCACAGGUAGAUUGAUCAUGACUCACAGAUGACCCUUAUUGAUUUUGAGGUCACAAGGUCAAGGUCACGGUGACCCGAAAUAGUAAAAUGAUUUUCGGAUGAUAACUCAAGAACGCUUUUGCCUAGGAUCAUGACACUUCAUAGGUACAUUGAUCGUGACUCACAGAUGACCCCUAUUGAUUUUCAGGUCACUAGGUCAAAGGUCAAGGUCACAGUGACAAAAAACGUAUUCACACAAUGGCUGCCACUACAACGGACAGCCCAUAUGGGGGGCAUGCUUGUUUUACAAACAGCCCUUGUUAAAGAUUCUUUUCUAGUGUUUAGUUUAUAUUUUAAGGCUGUUUGCAAACUCGAAGUGAAAACAGCUCUAGUACAAUUUGGUAAGGACAUGACAUUGCAUAUCUGAUUUAAAAAUGUACUUUGCUGGCAACGUGUAAUUUUCAGAAAUGUCUUAGUAAGUAAGACUGUUGUUUGCAAUCAAAAGGUCUGUGCUUCAAAUCCAGGAAAAUGCAUGUUUUUUGUCCAAAUUUAUGUCAAUUCAGACAUUGUUCUGUGUAAAUAUGGGGUUUGCUUGUAGGAUCAGUCCUAUUUUUAUGUCCCCCACUAUAGUAGUGGGGGACAUGUUGUUUUUGCUCUGUCGGUCUGUUGAUUGGUUGGUUGGUCUGUUUAUGCCAACUUUAACAUUUUGCAAUAUUGAAAGUAGCAACUUGAUAUUUGGCAUGCAAAUGCAUCUCCUGAAGCUGCACAUUAUCAUUGGUGAAAGGUCAAGGUCAUCCUUCAAGGUCAGAGGUCAAAUAUAUGUGGCCAAAAUCGCUCAUUUUAUGAAUUCUUUUGCAAUAUUGAAGAUAGCAACUUGAUAUUUGCCAAGCAUGUGUAUCUCAUUGAGCUGCACAUUUUGAGUGGUGAAAGGUCAAGGUCAUCCUUCAAGGUCAGAGGUCAAAUAUAUGUGGCCCAAAUCGCUUAUUUUAUUAAUACUUUUGCAAUAUUGAAGAUAGCAACUUGAAAUUUGGCAUGCAUGUGUAUCUCAUGGAGCUGCAAAUUUUGAGUGUUGAAAGGUCAAAGUCAUCCUUCAAGGUCAGAGGUUAAAUAUAUGUGGCCCAAAUCGCUUAUUUUAUGAAUACGUUUGCACUAUUGAAGAUAGCAACUUGAUAUUUGGCAUGCAUAUGUAUCUCAUAGAGCUGCACAUUUUGAGUGGUGAAAGGUCAAGGUCAUCCUUCAAGGUCAAAUAUAUGGGUCAAAAUUGCUCAUGUUAUGUUACUUCUGCAAUAUUGAAGCUAGCAAUUUUAUAUUUGACAUGCAUGUGUAUCUCAUGGAGCUGCACAUUUUGAGUGGUGAAGGGUCAAGGUCAUCCUUCAAGGUCAAACGUUAUAUACGGGGCAUUGGGUUUCACAAACGCAUCUUGUUGUGUAUGUAAUUAAUUUUGCUUAAUUUUUGUGAUCCCCCGCCAACAGCGGAGGGAUAUUAAUUUGGCAUUGUCCGUCUUUCCGUCUGUCCGUCCGGCACUUUUGUGUCCGGAACCAUAUCUUGGAAGUGCUUUAGCAGAUUUCAUUGAAACUUGGUACGAGUAUAUAUAUAUGGAUAAGAGGAUGAUGCACGCCAAAUGGCAUUGUACAUCCUUGAUUAAUAGCGGAGUUAUGACCCUUUGUAUUUGAAAAAAAUGCUUUUUUUGUGUGUCCAGAGCCAUAACUUGUAUCCAGAAGUAUAAUGGCGGGGGAUAUCAAUUCAACGAAUUUGCUUGUUAAAUCAGUUUUUAUUUUCAUGAUAAUCAUUUAGUUCGUACUGCAACUUAUGAUGGAUUGUUACUACUAUCUCCAAUUAUUUGUUUGUCAUGGGUCCGUCACCAUUUAUCUCUUAUAUAAUACUUGAAUUGAGCAUUUCACAAUCUGACAAUCAUGCAUAUCAUUUAUUAGUUUCAUAAUAAAACGUCUGACAAGGGUCAGAUAAUUUUAA